GGGGUUGUAGCUCAGCAGUAGAGCACUUGCCUCACACAUGCAAGACCCAGGGUUCAAUCCCCAGUACCACA
rnacentral:tRNA from 1 species